UAAAAUGUCAAAAUACAACAUAAAAACACAAACAAAUCCGAUUCAUUCACUUUCUUCGUACACUAUACCUUAUUUUUUGAGCUCUUUCGAUUAAAAAUACAAAACUCAUCAUUUGUCGUCUAAUUUUAUUGGAAAUCGCAUC